CGCAGGAUCAUUACUGAGUUAUUAAACUCCAACCCUUUGUGAACAUUAACGUCGUUGCCUCAGCGUGAGCUACAGCUACCCUGUAGUUACCCUAUAGCUACCCUGCAACUACCCUAUAGUUGACCAAUGGCUACCCUGUAGUUACCCUAGAUCUACCCUGCACCUACCCUAUAAUGGACCAUUAACUACCCUGGGGCCCGCUUAUGGCCCGCCGAAGGACCGAUUAAACUCUUGUUUUUUUUCCUGUUUCUAUGAAUUGUAAACUUAAAUAAUUUAAAACUUUCAACAACGGAUCUCUUGGUUCUGGCAUUUAUGAAAAACGCAUUUAAAUGCCAUAAAUAAUGUGAAUUGCAAAAUUAAUUGAAUCAUCCAAUCUUUGAACGCACAUUGCGCCCAUUGUAAUUCUAGUGGGCAUGCCUAUUCGAGCGUCAUUUCCACCCUUAAGCCCCUGUGGCAUACCCUGGGGAAUCUACAGGUAACUUCCUUAAAGUUAGUGGGUAACUUCGGGUACACUCUAACUCUAGUCAUCUUUACCACUCGUGUGGUGACCCUGGCUGCUAACUUUUAAAACUCAAUAAUGAUCCCUGGUUGACCUCACAUUAGGAAAGAUUACCUACCACAUUUUAUUCCUAUCAAUGACCGAGAGAA
rnacentral:rRNA from 1 species